rnacentral:tRNA from 1 species
GUUAAUUAUAUAGUUUACUUACUAAGCUAGGUUAAAAAACUAGUAAUUAUAGUAGCUAUUAUUAGCC